GUGGGGAAUAUUCCGCAAUGGACGAAAGUCUGACGGAGCAACGCCGAGUGAGUGAUGAAGGUUUUCGGACUGUAAAGCUCUGUUGUUUAGGACGAAAGUGCCUGUUGCAAAUAGUUACAGGUAUUGACGGUACUGAACGAGGAAGCCACGGCUAACUACGUGCCAGCAGCCGCGGUAAUACGUAGGUGGCAAGCGUUGUCCGGAAUUAUUGGGCGUAAAGAGCAUGUAGGCGGGAAUCUAAGUCUGUUGUGAAAAUGCGGGGCUCAACCCCGUAUUGCGAUGGAAACUGGGUUUCUUGAGUGCAGGAGAGGAAAGGGGAAUUCCCAGUGUAGCGGUGAAAUGCGUAGAUAUUGGGAGGAACACCAGUGGCGAAGGCGCCUUUCUGGACUGUGUCUGACGCUGAGAUGCGAAAGCCAGGGUAGCGAACGUGAUUAGAAACCCUUGUAGUCC
rnacentral:rRNA from 1 species